rnacentral:rRNA from 1 species
CCUACGGGUGGCAGCAGUGGGGAAUAUUGGACAAUGGGGGCAACCCUGAUCCAGCCAUGCCGCGUGUGUGAAGAAGGCCCUCGGGUUGUAAAGCACUUUCAGUGAGGAAGAACGCCUGGUGGUUAAUACCCAUCAGGAAAGACAUCACUCACAGAAGAAGCACCGGCUAACUCCGUGCCAGCAGCUGCGGUAAUACGGAGGGUGCGAGCGUUAAUCGGAAUUACUGGGCGUAAAGCGCGCGUAGGUGGCUUGAUAAGCCGGUUGUGAAAGCCCCGGGCUCAACCUGGGAACGGCAUCCGGAACUGUCAAGCUAGAGUGCAGGAGAGGAAGGUAGAAUUCCCGGUGUAGCGGUGAAAUGCGUAGAGAUCGGGAGGAAUACCAGUGGCGAAGGCGGCCUUCUGGACUGACACUGACACUGAGGUGCGAAAGCGUGGGUAGCAAACAGGAUUAGAUACCCCGGUAGUC